CGGUGCUCACGUGCUGCCAGGAACGCAGCCCAGGUCAGUCCAGUUGAAUCCUGGCUGUCGACGGAUGCAUACGCACCGUCACCGUGGAGGAAAGAAACAAUGAGCUGUUCCUGUGGCUGCUUCGUUGCCCUGUCGAUCCUGCUGCACCUUCUGACUGUUUCCAGUGGCCUAUCCACGAGCCCGUUAUCGAGUGCAGGAAACCAGACCACGAGCUUGAUGUCCCCAGACAACGUCCGCAAUCGUCGUUCACCCAUUGACAUAGCCGGCAUUGUCACGUUCGUUGGACAACUAAGUGAUGCAGGCCUCACCUGUGCGGAAAACAUUGCAGCAAAUGAUGCGCAGUGCAAGAAGAUGCACCAGGACUUGAGCACUGAAAGCGGGCUUAAGAAA